UACGAAGGGUGCAAGCGUUACUCGGAAUUACUGGGCGUAAAGCGUGCGUAGGUGGUGAGUUAAGUCUGUCGUGAAAGCCCCGGGCUCAACCUGGGAAUGGCGAUGGAUACUGGCUCGCUAGAGUGCGGUAGAGGGUGGUGGAAUUCCCGGUGUAGCAGCGAAAUGCGUAGAGAUCGGGAGGAACAUCAGUUGCGAAGGCGGCCACCUGGACCAGCACUGACACUGAGGCACGAAAGCGUGGGGAGCAAACAGG
rnacentral:rRNA from 1 species